rnacentral:rRNA from 1 species
AAUUUUCGGCAAUGGAGGAAACUCUGACCGAGCAAUGCCGCGUGAAUGAUGAAGAUCUUCGGAUCGUAAAGUUCUGUUGUUAGGGAAGAAUAAUACAGUCAGGAAAUGGACUGUAGACGACGGUACCUAACCAGAAAGCCCCGGCUAACUAUGUGCCAGCAGCCGCGGUAAUACAUAGGGGGCGAGCGUUAUCCGGAAUUAUUGGGCGUAAAGCGUGCGUAGGCGGUUUAUUAAGUCUGAUGUGAAAUUUUACAGCUUAACUGUAAAGGGUCAUUGGAAACUGGUAAACUUGAGUACGGUAGGGACAAGUGGAAUUCCAAGUGGAGCGGUGGAAUGCGUAGAUAUUUGGAGGAACACCAGUAGCGAAGGCGGCUUGUUGGGCCGGAACUGACGCUGAUGCACGAAAGCGUGGGUAGCAAACA